rnacentral:rRNA from 1 species
UACGUAGGGUGCAAGCGUUAAUCGGAAUUACUGGGCGUAAAGCGUGCGCAGGCGGUUGUGCAAGACCGAUGUGAAAUCCCCGGGCUUAACCUGGGAAUGGCAUUGGUGACUGCACGGCUAGAGUGUGUCAGAGGGGGGUAGAAUUCCACGUGUAGCAGUGAAAUGCGUAGAGAUGUGGAGGAAUACCGAUGGCGAAGGCAGCCCCCUGGGAUAACACUGACGCUCAUG